AUUGAACGCUGGCGGCAGGCCUAACACAUGCAAGUCGAGCGAGCGGCGGACGGGUGAGUCAUGUCUGGGAAACCGCCUGAUGGAGGGGGAUAACUACUGGAAACGGUUGCUAAUACCGCAUACCAUCAGAUGUGCCCAAAUGGGAUUAGCUAGUUGGUGGGGUAAUGGCUCACCUAGGCGACGAUACCUAGCUGGACUGAGAGGAUGAACAGCCACACUGGAACGGAGACACGGUCCAAGCUCCUACGGGAGUCAGCAUUGGUGAUUAGGGCGCAAUGGGCGCAAGCCUGAUGCAACCGUGCCGCGUGUGUGAAGAAGGCCUUCGGUUUGUAAGGUACGGUCAGCGAGGAGGCGUUACUCGCAGAAGAAGCACCGGCUAACUCCGUGCCAGCAGCCGCGGUAAUAC
rnacentral:rRNA from 1 species